rnacentral:rRNA from 1 species
UGGGGAAUAUUGGACAAUGGGCGAAAGCCUGAUCCAGCCAUGCCGCGUGUGUGAAGACGGUCUUCGGAUUGUAAAGCACUUUAAGUUGGGAGGAAGGGCAGUAAGCGAAUACCUUGCUGUUUUGACGUUACCGACAGAAUAAGCACCGGCUAACUCUGUGCCAGCAGCCGCGGUAAUACAGAGGGUGCAAGCGUUAAUCGGAAUUACUGGGCGUAAAGCGCGCGUAGGUGGUUCGUUAAGUUGAAUGUGAAAGCCCCGGGCUCAACCUGGGAACUGCAUCCAAAACUGGCGAGCUAGAGUAGGGCAGAGGGUGGUGGAAUUUCCUGUGUAGCGGUGAAAUGCGUAGAUAUAGGAAGGAACACCAGUGGCGAAGGCGACCACCUGGGCUCAUACUGACACUGAGGUGCGAAAGCGUGGGGAGCAAACAGG